rnacentral:rRNA from 1 species
UACAGAGGGUGCGAGCGUUGUCCGGAAUCACUGGGCGUAAAGGGCGCGUAGGCGGUUCCCUAAGUGUGUGGUGAAAGCUCGGGGCUCAACCCCGAGUCGGCCGUGCAAACUGGGGGACUCGAGCAUGUCAGAGGCAGGCGGAAUUCCGGGUGUAGCGGUGAAAUGCGUAGAUAUCAGGAGGAACACCGGCGGUGUAGACGGCUUUCUGGACCGUAGCUGACGCUGAGACACGAAAGCGUGGGUAGCAAACAGG